GGUCAAGUGAAGAAGCGCAUACGGUGGAUGCCUUGGCAGUCAGAGGCGAUGAAAGACGUGGUAGCCUGCGAAAAGCUUCGGGGAGUCGGCAAACAGACUGUGAUCCGGAGAUGUCUGAAUGGGGGAACCCAGCCAUCACAAGAUGGUUAUCUUACACUGAAUACAUAGGUGUAAGAGGCGAACCAGGGGAACUGAAACAUCUAAGUACCCUGAGGAAAAGAAAUCAACCGAGAUUCCCUUAGUAGUGGCGAGCGAACGGGGACCAGCCCUUAAGUUGUAUUGAGAUUAGCGGAACGCUCUGGAAAGUGCGGCCAUAGUGGGUGAUAGCCCUGUACGCGAAAAUCCCUUUGCAAUGAAAUCGAGUAGGACGGGGCACGAGAAACCUUGUCUGAAUAUGGGGGGACCAUCCUCCAAGGCUAAAUACUACUGACUGACCGAUAGUGAACCAGUACCGUGAGGGAAAGGCGAAAAGAACCGCGGAGAGCGGAGUGAAAUAGAUCCUGAAACCGUAUGCGUACAAGCAGUGGGAGCCCACUUUGUUGGGUGACUGCGUACCUUUUGUAUAAUGGGUCAGCGACUUAUUUUCAGUGGCGAGCUUAACCGAAUAGGGGAGGCGUAGCGAAAGCGAGUCUUAAUAGGGCGUCUAGUCGCUGGGAAUAGACCCGAAACCGGGCGAUCUAUCCAUGGGCAGGUUGAAGGUUGGGUAACACUAACUGGAGGACCGAACCGACUACCGUUGAAAAGUUAGCGGAUGACCUGUGGAUCGGAGUGAAAGGCUAAUCAAGCUCGGAGAUAGCUGGUUCUCCUCGAAAGCUAUUUAGGUAGCGCCUCAUGUAUCACUGUAGGGGGUAGAGCACUGUUUCGGCUAGGGGGUCAUCCCGACUUACCAAACCGAUGCAAACUCCGAAUACCUACAAGUGCCGAGCAUGGGAGACACACGGCGGGACAUCCCGACUUACCAAACCGAUGCAAACUCCGAAUACCUACAAGUGCCGAGCAUGGGAGACACACGGCGGGUGCUAACGUCCGUCGUGAAAAGGGAAACAACCCAGACCGUCAGCUAAGGUCCCAAAGUCAUGGUUAAGUGGGAAACGAUGUGGGAAGGCUUAGACAGCUAGGAGGUUGGCUUAGAAGCAGCCACCCUUUAAAGAAAGCGUAAUAGCUCACUAGUCGAGUCGGCCUGCGCGGAAGAUGUAACGGGGCUCAAACCAUGCACCGAAGCUACGGGUAUCACCUUUGGUGAUGCGGUAGAGGAGCGUUCUGUAAGCCUGUGAAGGUGAGUUGAGAAGCUUGCUGGAGGUAUCAGAAGUGCGAAUGCUGACAUGAGUAACGACAAUGGGUGUGAAAAACACCCACGCCGAAAGACCAAGGUUUCCUGCGCAACGUUAAUCGACGCAGGGUUAGUCGGUCCCUAAGGCGAGGCUGAAAAGCGUAGUCGAUGGAAAACAGGUUAAUAUUCCUGUACUUCUGGUUAUUGCGAUGGAGGGACGGAGAAGGCUAGGCCAGCCUGGCGUUGGUAGUCCAGGUUUAAGGUGGUAGGCUGAGAUCUUAGGUAAAUCCGGGAUCUUAAGGCCGAGAGCUGAUGACGAGUGUUCUUUUAGAACAUGAAGUGGUUGAUGCCAUGCUUCCAAGAAAAGCUUCUAAGCUUCAGGUAACCAGGAACCGUACCCCAAACCGACACAGGUGGUUGGGUAGAGAAUACCAAGGCGCUUGAGAGAACUCGGGUGAAGGAACUAGGCAAAAUG
rnacentral:rRNA from 1 species